rnacentral:rRNA from 1 species
AACGAACGCUGGCGGCAUGCCUAACACAUGCAAGUCGAACGAGACCUUCGGGUCUAGUGGCGCAAGGGUGCGUAACGCGUGGGAACCUGCCCUUAGGUUCGGAAUAACUCCCCGAAAGGGGUGCUAAUACCGGAUAAUGUCUUCGGACCAAAGAUUUAUCGCCUUUGGAUGGGCCCGCGUUGGAUUAGCUAGUUGGUAGGGUAAAAGCCUACCAAGGCGACGAUCCAUAGCUGGUCUGAGAGGAUGAUCAGCCACACUGGGACUGAGACACGGCCCAGACUCCUACGGGAGGCAGCAGUGGGGAAUAUUGGACAAGGGGCGAAAGCCUGAUCCAGCAAUGCCGCGGGAGUGAUGAAGGCCUUAGGGUUGUAAAGCUCUUUUACCCGGGAUGAUAAUGACAGUACCGGGAGAAUAAGCGCCGGCUAACUCCGUG